rnacentral:rRNA from 1 species
UACGUAGGGGGCAAGCGUUGUCCGGAAUCAUUGGGCGUAAAGAGCGCGUAGGCGGCCCAGUAAGUCCGCUCUGAAAGUCAGGGGCUCAACCCCUGAAUGCGGGUGGAUACUGCUGGGCUAGAGUACGGUAGAGGGGGAUGGAAUUCCGCGUGUAGCAGUGAAAUGCGUAGAUAUGCGGAGGAACACCGAUGGCGAAGGCAAUCCCCUGGACCUGUACUGACGCUCAUGCACGAAAGCGUGGGGA